CGUAGGGUGCAAGCGUUGUCCGGGAAUUAUUGGGCGUAAAGAGCUCGUAGGCGGUUUGUUGCGUCGGCUGUGAAAACCUGAGGCUCAACCUCAGGCCUGCAGUCGAUACGAGCAGACUAGAGUGUUGCAGGGGGAGACUGGAAUUCCUGGUGUAGCGGUGAAAUGCGCAGAUAUCAGGAGGAACACCGGUGGGCGAAGGCGGGGUCUCUGGGGCAACAACUGACGCUGAGGAGCGAAAGCGUGGGGAGCGAACAGGAUU
rnacentral:rRNA from 1 species